rnacentral:misc_RNA from 1 species
GUCGUAACAAGGUUUCCGUAGGUGAACCUGCGGAAGGAUCAUUACCACACCGAUCCACGAGAUCUAUCACCCCUUCGCGAACUGUGAUAUUUUUUCUAAAUACAAAAUUGAAGCAUAUCAUAUUUGUGUGUGUUUGGUUUGUUGAAAGAAGGCUUUAUUUGCUUUUUUUCGCUUUUACCGAUCUGCACAUGUAAUAUGUAUAUGGUUCUCUUAACAAACGCCAAUUUUCUUAUAUCUUUUUUUUUCCAUUUUUUCAUUUCCCUUUUCUUAUGUUUGUUUAUUUAAUAAACGAAAGAAAGAGAAAGAAAAAAAAACAAAAACGAAUAGCCAAACAACUUUCAGCGAUGGAUAUCUUGGCUCUC